UACAGGAAGCCAUGGGCCAUUUACUGUGCAGUUCAGGCUCUCAGAACCUUCUUCGUUGGCUCAAGUGAGGAGCAGCUUCUCCUGAAGGUGUCUGCAGGAUUUGGCAGCUGUUCCACACCUCUGAACUUGAUGGAUGUUGCAGUAAGGACUCUGCAGAUGAACCCCAAACGAGGCAACAACUACUUUGGGAAAGUGAAGGAAGUUCCUGAAUUGUUGAUAUUUACCAGAAUUUUAGUUAGUGCAUAUGCUGAGACUUCAUUGUAUGACUGGAAAUUAGUGAGGAUGGAUAUGGAAGCAUCUUAAUGCUGUAGAAACUAUAUAAGAAUAAAACCCUAAUAAAAAAUCGCA
rnacentral:lncRNA from 1 species